GUCAGGCACAGUGGCACAUGCCUGUAGUCCCACCUACUCAGGAGGCUGAAGUGGGAGGAUCGCUUGAGCCCAGGAGUUCUGGGCCCUAUGCCAGUCGGGUGUCUGCACUAAGUUUGGCAUCAAUAUGGUGACCUCCCGGGAGCAGGGUACCACCAGGUUGCCUAAGGAGGGGUGAACUGACCCAGGCCAGAAAUGUAACAGGUCAAAACUCCCAUGCUGAUCAGUAGUGGGAUCACGCCUGUGAAUAGCCACUGCACACCAGCCUGGGCAACAUAGAGAGAUCCCAUCUCU
ensembl:misc_RNA Metazoa_SRP Metazoan signal recognition particle RNA